rnacentral:tRNA from 1 species
GUCGCUGACAGUCGCAUUUGCAGAAAGCACAUCAGCAGCACAAGGCGUUGCCAGAGUUAAAAAUAUCAACGUGUUAAAACCCAAUCAUUCCAAUUCCGAUUCCAAAGGUCACAGGUUCGAAUCCUGUCGGGUGCGCCA